rnacentral:lncRNA from 12 species
AUGGAAAGCACUGGGAUGGAGACCAGUGCUUCCUGCUUUUGGAACCUUGACCUUCGCCCCUGGGUUAUGAUGGAUAUACAACAAAUGGAGCAUAUCAUAGCAUUUCAGGACCAGGAGAGAGACCUUGGAAGUCACUUUCUGCAUGAAAGUGUGUGGUACCACCGUCCAACACAAAAGACUAAUGUGCCUGGAGAACAACAGCAACAGAGUGGCCGUAUAACAACAACAAGGACAAUAACAGUACCAUUUACAGAGUAA